UACAGAGGGGGCAAGCGUUGUUCGGAAUUACUGGGCGUAAAGGGCGCGUAGGCGGCCCGCUAAGUCGAACGUGAAAUCCCCGAGCUCAACUCGGGAACUGCGUCCGAUACUGGCGGGCUUGAAUCCGGGAGAGGGAUGCGGAAUUCCAGGUGUAGCGGUGAAAUGCGCAGAUAUCAGGAGGAACACCGGUGGCGAAGGCGGGUCUCUGGGCAGUAACUGACGCUGAGGAGCGAAAGCGUGGGGAGCGAACAGG
rnacentral:rRNA from 1 species